rnacentral:rRNA from 1 species
AGAACGAACGCUGGCGGCGUGGAUAAGACAUGCAAGUCGAACGCGACUUAUUUUGUUAGCAAUAACCGAGUAAGUUGAGUGGCGAAAGGGUGCGUAACACGUGGGAAUUUACCAAGAAGUGGGGAAUAGCUCGACGAAAGUCGAAUUAAUACCGCAUGUGAUCGUAAGAUCAAAGUCGGGGACCGCAAGGCCUGACGCUUCUUGAGAAGCCCGCGGCCCAUCAGCUAGUUGGCGAGGUAAAAGCUCACCAAGGCUAUGACGGGUAGCUGGUCUGAGAGGACGACCAGCCACACUGGAACUGAGACACGGUCCAGACACCUACGGGUGGCAGCAGUCGAGAAUUUUUCACAAU